CACGUAGGGUGCAAGCGUUGUCCGGAUUCAUUGGGCGUAAAGGGCUAGUAGGCGGCUUAGCAAGUCGGGUGUGAAAUUUCCAGGCUUAACCUGGAACCGCCAUCCGAUACUGCUAUGGCUAGAGUCCGGUAGGGGACCACGGAAUUCCUGGUGCAGCGGUGAAAUGCGCAGAUAUCAGGAGGAACACCGAUGGCGAUGGCAGUGGUCUGGGCCGGCACUGACGCUGAAUAGCGAAAGCGUGGGUAGCGAACAGG
rnacentral:rRNA from 1 species